UAAAAAUGUAAGUAAUUUAAAAUUAGAUUAUUAAUAGUUAUGUUCUUUAAAAUUAAUAUAUUUGGCGGUAUUUUAGUCUUUUCAGAGGAACCUGUUCUAUAAUAGAUAAUCCACGUUUGAUUUAAAUUUAAUUAGAAAUUUAUAUAUCGUUGUUAAAAAUAUUUUUUUAGAAUUGAAUAUUUAAAAUUUUAAAUUGAAAAUUUAUCAGAUCAAGGUAUAGUUUAUAUUAAAUUAGAAAUGGGUUACAUUUAUAUUAAUAUUGGAUUGUCUUAUGAAAUUAAUAUUGAAAUUGGAUUUGAAAGUAAUUAAAUUUACUUUUUUUUAAUGAUUUAGCUCUAAAAUAUGU
rnacentral:rRNA from 1 species